UCAAUUGUUCCAAUGGAUAAUAUAUAUGCAUGUAGCUCGAGUUAAUUAAGAUUCAGACCUUACUCUAUAGGAUCCAUUAGUACUUUCGAAACCUUAUGUUUUGAAGCCCUAAAAUAUUCUCUACAACCUAUUAUCUAUUUACAAUUUUGGAAACUAAUGUUGUAAGUAUUGUUUCUUUUUGUUUUCUUUUUUCCCCUCUGUAUCUUUCGAGUGGAGAAGGGGUAUGUGCUAUGUAGGGUAUUCCAUAAGAACAAUAUAGGACCACCCAAUGGAAACCGAUAUGCACCCUUUAUUGAGUCGGAAUGGGAUGAUGCAUCAGCAGCUGUGGUUCCGGGACUAGAUGCCGGGGAUGAUGGUGUAGCUGGAAAUGAUGCGAUUGCUGGCAAUGAUGUGGCAUCUGCCGAGAAGGCAGUGAAUGAAAGUAACGCUGUUCAAAGGAUCGGUUUUGAGCAGGUUUAUGCUUUAUUUUUUUCCUCAAAAAAUUUCUUGAACAAUGGUGAACAAGAUUCUGAGAUAGCCUAUUGAGUUCCCAAUUACCGUAUUAAUUAUAAAAGUAAGUUUAAUAGUUUGUCCAGAACUGGUCUGAACUUCCAGUAAGUUUUGAGGUAGGAGUUACCGGAUUGCUCUUCCUCUUGGCGCCUUCCUAGAGAUAUUUGACUUCCAACUUCCCGAGCAAUCCUCAUGACUAGCUAGGAUGGGAUGCAAUACUAGGUACGGUAGCCUGUGCGAUAGAAUUAGUCGCUUCCUUUUCUAGAUUUUGGAUGAGCAUCCAUGUGCACUCCUAUGUUAUAGAAACCUUUCAGUUGCGAUAAACAUUAGGUUGAUACGGUGUGACAGACUGCAGAUUAUUUAGAGCACCUAUAUGAUUGUAUUAGGUAAGAUAUUGAAAUCUCAACAGUUCUUCCUCUGCAGUUUCAUUCCAAUGCCUUUUUUCUUGUACGGAGAGUAAUUGAUUGGCUGCACUUGUUUCAUGUGUGCAUCAUAUUCUAGUUUCAAAAUUCGACAUAACAAAUCGUUUUUUAUACUUAGUUCUGCUACUAAU